rnacentral:rRNA from 1 species
GUCUUUUUGUUAAUAAUAUAAAGUCUAAUCUGCCCACUGAAGAAUAUUUAAAGGGCUGCAGUAUAUUGACUGUACAAAGGUAGCAUAAUCAUUAGUCUUUUAAUUGAAGACUUGUAUGAAUGAUUUGAUGAGAUAUAAACUGUCUCUUUGUUAAAAGUAAAAUUUAAUUUUUUAGUUAAAAAGCUAAAAUAUUUAUAAAAGACGAGAAGACCCUAUAGAGUUUUAUAUUUAGUUUAAUUUUUAAUUAUAUAUCUAAUUUUAAUGAAAAAUUUUAUUAAAUAUUUUAUUGGGGUGAUAAAAAAAUUAAUUAAACUUUUUUUACAAUAAAACAUUAAUAUAUGAAUAAAUGAUCCAUAAUUUAUGAUUAAAAGAAUAAAUUACCUUAGGGAUAACAGCGUAAUUUUUUCUUUUAGUUCAAAUAAAAGUUAAAGUUUGCGACCUCGAUGUUGGAUUAAGAUAAAAUUUAAAAGCAAAAUUUUAAAAUUUUGAUCUGUUCGAUCAUUAAAAUCUUACA